GUGGCAGUAGAAGACAACAGUACAAUGACCGAAAGUUUUCCAUGCAAACAGACUUAGAAGAAGAAGCGGCUAAAUGAGAGGGAGUGGGAAAGCAGAAUUUUAUGCCGCAAAAAAAUAGUAGUAGAAAAAUAAGCAUGCUAGCUACUACUACUACUACUACUACUAAAACCUGUUGGAGCAGGAGUGGAAAAACAGAAUUUUAUUCCCGCUUUCUCGGCACCACUGCACUAUGGGAAAUAUUACAGCUUUCUGUGACGUAAAAAGUAAUGACUAGCCAGUGUUGAAUAGCAGACUGUUGACUAGUUUACAUCCAAUUUCAAUUUAAAAUGUGCUAAUUUAAUAGAUAUCCCCCAUAACGGUUGAACUUUCCACGAAAAGCGCUGCCAGAUGAUAUCCCCAAGGUUUCGCCGGAAUGGCAACGCCGCUUUGGACCAACAACUCUUCUUUCUUCUUCUCACCUCUCCAAAACGUACGAUCAAAAUGUACACUCUGAUAACGUAUGAAGGUGAGCAACAAAAUAAAAAACCAAAAAGAAAAGGCACAACUCCAAAACAACAACAAUGGAAUGUCGACGCACCCUUUUCUUUCUUGCGCAUUUCGAACACAGAGAGAGAGGAGAGGAGAAGAAGCGCAAAACCACAUCCCGCUUGAAAGACGAAUUAAAGUAAGAAAGAGGAGCGGGUGGAACUCUACAAUGGUGGUGGGGACAAUAGGGGAUACCUUGUUUUUAUUUUUUAUUAAAACAAAGAAAUGAUUACAAAGCUUAUAUUUAAUUUAACACUUUUCAUUUUUUGUUUUAAAUUUUAUUCCAAAAGUAAAAUUAUAUCCCUAAUUUAUACAAUAAAAAAAAAUAUAUCAGCUUGUUGAUCCCA